rnacentral:lncRNA from 1 species
GCAAAAAUGAGUGAAAGGGAAAGAAGAAAAAAAGCAUGGUUUUCAUAAUUUUCAUGCGUAAAAGAAAGUAGGAAAAACAAGUUGGAAAGGUGAAAGGAGAUGAGGCGUGAAGGAAAAAGCAAGGUGGUUCCUUUUAUCUGUUGAACAAAAAAAUAUUGAAUGAAUGGUUAGAUUAAAAAGGAGGACAAAAACCUGUUGUGUGGUUGACAGCAGCUAAAUGGUUCCCUCCAAAUCCAACCGAUCCAGUGGUACUUAGUGAAAUGAGGGGCUGAAUCUGAAUUCUGAAGUCGAUGUGCUGCUGCAUACCUGCCUGCCUGCCAGCUUAUUGUGUGGCUCAGAAACAACAAGAAUUUCCAAUUGCCCCAUGCACCUGGAAAAGCAUGUGGAGGUAGUAACAAUAAUGUAUCCACUCUUGUCCCACCCAUCACAUAACCUAUGUUUUUCUGAUCACUUGGAAUGAAUGUUGAUUUUGAGUUCAUAUUUGUCCAAUACAAAGCAUAAUAUUAUAUGUUUUUUGUUUAAAAAAGAUCACAAAUCAUAAGCAAACAUAGGUACAUAAUCAGCUGAGCUGGUGGAUUGAACUCGUUGGGGCGUUAGCUUGAGAGCACAGGCAGGGUGGUGAAUAGGGGGAGAAAGGCACGAAAAUAUCAGACGCACCAAAUCCAAUAUCAACUUUAUCGAUUUCUACCCAACACAGGCACUAGCAGGAAAGGAAGAGAGAGAAAGGGGGGAUAGUCAUUCCCCCCACAAACACAAACAGCAACAAAUAGCUUCUGCAGGCUUUAUACAGGGAGACUUGCUUUUCUAUAUUUGGUACAUGUAGUUAGAUAUUAGGAGGUCCUGUUGCUUUUCAAUCCUUUUCAUCUUCAACUCAACACCCAAUUUUGAAUUUUAAAAUUUUUAGCUCUGAUUAUUUUAGGUUUUUUUCUUGUUUUAACUUGUGGAUUUAUGAGUUUGUGGUUUGGGUUUUUAGGUUAAACCAUCUUAGUUCAGUCAUUUUUGGUAAGUGUGAAUUUCCUUUUUAUCAAUUUGGACAAAUCUGGUUUAUUCAGUUCUUCAAACCUUUUUCUUUCUUCUUGUGACAAAUCAGGUUAGAAAUAGGUUUAAAUUCGGGUUAAUAGAGUUAAUUAAAUUUUGAGUUUGGGUCAAAAGUGUCCGACCCACAUACAUGGAUAAUAUGUAUUUAAAUAAGUAUUCAUGUAUUUUGUGGUAUCAUAUUUUUUUAGAUAAAUUUUGAUAAAGAAUAAAAGGGAGG